GCUUCAGCGACAGCUCCUCAUUAAGGGGCCACGAUUCCAAGAAGCCCAGCACUACGUUAACAUCCCAAAAUGAUGAAUAUCUGGAUUUCGGAGGCCUAGAGUAACGAAUACCCUUCAAGAGUCGACAUACAAGAGAAUGUUGUCCAACCGGUGAUCCGUCAAUACCUAGAUGUCCGGCCGAGAUGACCAAUCUAUAAACAUUAAUAGUGCGG